rnacentral:misc_RNA from 1 species
GAUGAAGAACGUAUCGAAAUGCGAUAAGUAAUGUGAAUUGCAGAAUUCAGUGAAUCAUCGAAUCUUUGAACGCACAUUGCGCCCGCUGGUAUUCCGGCGGGCAUGCCUAUUCGAGCGUCAUUUCAACCCUCAAGCCCCCGGGUUUGGUGUUGGGGAUCGGCUCUGCCCUUCUGGGCGGUGCCGCCCCCGAAAUACAUUGGCGGUCUCGCUGCAGCCUCCAUUGCGUAGUAGCUAACACCUCGCAACUGGAACGCGGCGCGGCCAUGCCGUAAAACCCCAACUUCUGAAUGUUGACCUCGGAUCAGGUAGGAAUACCCGCUGAACUUAAGCAUAUCAAUAAGCGGAGGA